GCCUUUAUUACAAUCUGACAGUGUGCACUUUAACCACGUGUAAUUUUUUUCAAUUAUAAAUCUUAAAUUGUGAAGUACAUAAGCAAAUAAAUGUGUCUUUGUCCCAAACAUUAUAGAGGGCACUGUAGACAUUCUCUAAUAAAUUACUGCCAUUAGAUUAGUUUGCACUUUCAUUACAUUCUGUUCAAUUGGUGUGUUUUGUUUAAAAAAAAGGUGGUUUACAUAAAUUAGAAUAAUCAAUGAGGUGAGCAUUACACGGCACUUUUUUCUCUGAAACAGUAUUGCUUUUUAAUGUAAUCAUUCAUUUAUUCCUUUUAUUCUAAGCUUGCACUUAUGAUUUAUGUAUGAACACACAUUUAUACUUUGUAAUGGUUUUACUACUUUAACCAUUUAGGUGCUGCAUGCAGAGCUGCCAAGUUUUGUUUUGUAAGAGCAUUUCAGUAUUCUAGGAGCUGAAAAUCUGUAUUUUUACGCGGUGCCAUUUUGCUGAUUUUUU